GACGGGGGCUGCAAGCGUUCUCCGGAAUCACUGGGCGUAAAGCGUCUGUCGGUGGUGAUGCAAGUCACUGGUGCAAAACUCUGGCUCAACCGGAGGAAAGCCAGUGAAACUGCAUGACUAGAGUGUGGGAGAGGUAGAAGGAAUUCCCUGAGUAGCGGUGAAAUGCGUAGAUACAGGGAAGAACACCGGAGGCGAAAGCGUUCUACUGGAACACAACUGACACUGAGAGACGAAAGCUAGGGGAGCGAAUGGG
rnacentral:rRNA from 1 species